rnacentral:rRNA from 1 species
GCGAACGCUGGCGGCAGGCUUAACACAUGCAAGUCGAACGGGCACUUCGGUGCUAGUGGCAGACGGGUGAGUAACACGUGGGAACGUACCUUUCGGUUCGGAAUAAUACAGGGAAACUUGUACUAAUACCGGAUACGCCCUUCGGGGGAAAGAUUUAUCGCCGAUAGAUCGGCCCGCGUCUGAUUAGCUAGUUGGUGAGGUAAUGGCUCACCAAGGCGACGAUCAGUAGCUGGUCUGAGAGGAUGAUCAGCCACACUGGGACUGAGACACGGCCCAGACUCCUACGGGAGGCAGCAGUGGGGAAUAUUGGACAAUGGGCGCAAGCCUGAUCCAGCCAUGCCGCGUGUGUGAUGAAGGCCUUAGGGUUGUAAAGCACUUUUGUCCGGGAAGAUAAUGACUGUACCGGAAGAAUAAGCCCCGGCUAACUUCGU